rnacentral:rRNA from 1 species
GACGAACGCUGGCGGCGUGCUUAACACAUGCAAGUCGAACGGAAAGGCCCUGCUUUUGUGGGGUGCUCGAGUGGCGAACGGGUGAGUAACACGUGAGUAACCUGCCCUUGACUUUGGGAUAACUUCAGGAAACUGGGGCUAAUACCGGAUAGGAGCUCCUGCUGCAUGGUGGGGGUUGGAAAGUUUCGGCGGUUGGGGAUGGACUCGCGGCUUAUCAGCUUGUUGGUGGGGUAGUGGCUUACCAAGGCUUUGACGGGUAGCCGGCCUGAGAGGGUGACCGGCCACAUUGGGACUGAGAUACGGCCCAGACUCCUACGGGGGGCAGCAGGGGGGAAUAUUGCACAAUGGGGGGAAGCCUGAUGCAGCAACGCCGCGUGGGGGAUGACGGCCUUCGGGUUGUAAACCGCUUUCGCCUGUGACGAAGCGUGAGGGACGGGAAUGGGUAAAGAAGCACCGGCUAACUACGUG